rnacentral:lncRNA from 1 species
GUGGGGCUGUCAAAUCACUAAGGUUGACCCAUGCCUUAGGUGGGACAAUGUCCCAGGAUGGCUACUCCGCACGCCUUUGUCAGGGUGGCGGCCCACAGCAGUCGUACGACAUUCGGGGGAGCCGACCGAUUGUACGUCGGUGUCUGGUUGAGGAAUAUCGAAUGGGAUCCCAGAGACCCUCCGACGGAUAGUCGGGGGCGUUGCUGGAGUCGGAUAUCGGGCUCCACAGUUCGGC